AGCUCUCCGAGUGGUGUGGAUGUUUAUUGGGCCUAAAGCAUCCGUAGCUGGCUAGGUAAGUCCCUUGUUAAAUCCACCGAAUUAAUCGUUGGAUCGCGGGGGAUACUGCUUGGCUAGGGGACGAGAGAGGCAGACGGUAUUUUCGGGGUAGGGGUGAAAUCCUAUAAUCCCGGGAAGACCACCAGUGGCGAAGGCUGUCUGCUAGAACGCGCCCGACGGUGGGGGAUGAAAGCUGGGGGAGCGAACC
rnacentral:rRNA from 1 species